GUAACCGAGCUGUGAUCUGUGGAUUUCUGAAUGGGGAAACCCACCCUUCGGGGUAUUACGUACUGAAUGCAUAGGUGCGUAAGGCAAACCCAGGGAACUGAAACAUCUCAGUACCUGGAGGAAAGGAAAGCAACAUGCGACUCCGUGAGUAGCGGCGAGCGAAAGCGGAUCGGUGUGAACCCAGUGAACGCGUUGGAAUGCGCGGCCGAAGACGGUGAAAGCCCGGUAGUUGGAUGUAGCACCAUAGCCCUCGAUUAGGCUCGGGCUCGUGGAACCCGGGUUGAACAUGGGAGGUCCACCUUCCAAGGCUAAGUACUCCUUGACGACCGAUAGCGAAAAAGUAAAGUGAUUGAA
rnacentral:rRNA from 14 species